UGAAGGUACGUCUGCGUAGGGUUGAAAUAAAUCGAUGUUGGGAAGUCACAACAAAUAGCAGUAUGCUUUCGAAGGGGGAAGACUCUAUCGAUAACGAGUAUUACUCUUACAAUCGUCGAUUUUUUCGUCUGAUUGGAUUAUGGCAGAGUCAUACAUCUUUUAAGAAAAUGAUUUACAUUUCUUUCAUUAAUUUUAUGCUAGCCGUUGGAUCAUUCGUACAGGUUUAUUAUCUGUUUACUUCAGAAAGAAAUUUUAUUUCGAUCACAAAAUUAUUGGAAACAACGUUGCCCACUUUAUGCUUCGGAUUCUGCUAUUACAAUCUGUUGUACAAUGAUGGAAUUAUGAGGAAAAUUCGUUAUCGUAUAAAAUGUGAUUGGGAAAUCUUAGAAAACAAACCAGAAUUAGAGAUAUUAAAGAAAUAUGCCG